rnacentral:rRNA from 1 species
UACGUAGGGGGCUAGCGUUGUCCGGAAUCAUUGGGCGUAAAGCGCGUGUAGGCGGCCCGAUAAGUCCGCUGUGAAAGUCCAGGGCUCAACCCUGGGAUGCCGGUGGAUACUGUCGGGCUCGAGUCCGGAAGAGGCGAGUGGAAUUCCUGGUGUAGCGGUGGAAUGCGUAGAGAUCGGGAGGAACAUCAGUGGCGAAGGCGGUCUGCUGGGCCGUUGCUGACGCUGAGGCGCGACAGCGUGGGGAGCAAACAGG